ACACGUUUGUCAUCCAUGGAAGAAUACACCAGUGGUGCUCAUUUGUCGAAACUGUAAAUAGCCUCAGUUUUGCAUCUGUGUAUUCCUGGUGAAAGAUUAACAUCCGACACGGUUAAUAA
rnacentral:precursor_RNA from 10 species